GACGAACCGUGCGAACGUUGUUCGGAAUCACUGGGCUUAAAGGGCGCGUAGGCGGCUCGCGAGGUCGGGGGUGAAAUCCCGCAGCUUAACUGCGGAAGGGCCUCCGAUACCGGCGGGCUGGAGGAAGGUAGGGGUGCGCGGAACUUCUGGUGGAGCGGUGAAAUGACGUUGAUAUCAGAAGGAACGCCGGCGGCGAAAGCGGCGGCACUGGACCUUUCUGACGCUGAGGCGACGAAAGCUAGGGGAGCAAACGGGG
rnacentral:rRNA from 1 species